rnacentral:lncRNA from 1 species
UGAAGUUCAGGAUCCGAGACAGCAGCUUCAUCCAAGCCAGAAUUCUUACUCCCUUGCGCAUCAACUGCAGAAUCCAGCACAACUUGACUUUGGGACUGAGGUGCAGGAUCCGAGACAACAGCUUCAUCCAAGCUAGCAUCCUUACUCCCUUGAGCAUCAACCAUAGAAUCUAGAACAAAUUGACUCUUGGACUGAGAUUCAGGAUCCAAGACAACAGCUUCAUCCAAGCUAGAAUUCUUACUCCCUAUAGCAUCAACUGCAGAAUCUAGAACAACUUGACUCUGGGACUGAGGUUCAGGACCCAAAACAACAGCUUCACCCAAACCAGUAUUCUUAUUCCC